GUGCCAGCCGCCGCGGUAAUACGUAGGGGGCGAGCGUUGUCCGGAAUUACUGGGCGUAAAGGGCGCGUAGGCGGCCCGUUAAGUCCGCGGUGAAAGCCCGGGGCUCAACCCCGGAGGUGCCGCGGAGACUGGUGGGCUGGGGGGUCGGAGAGGAGCGGGGAAUCCCUGGUGGAGCGGUGGAAUGCGUAGAGAUCAGGGGGAACACCGAUGGCGAAGGCACCGCUCUGGCCGACGACCGACGCUGAGGCGCGAAAGCUGGGGGAGCGAACGGGAUUAGAUACCCCAGUAGUCC
rnacentral:rRNA from 1 species